rnacentral:rRNA from 1 species
AAAGGAAUUGACGGGGGCCCGCACAAGCAGUGGAGUAUGUGGUUUAAUUCGAAGCAACGCGAAGAACCUUACCAGGUCUUGACAUCGAGUGACGAAUCUAGAGAUAGAUUUUUCCUUCGGGACACAAAGACAGGUGGUGCAUGGUUGUCGUCAGCUCGUGUCGUGAGAUGUUGGGUUAAGUCCCGCAACGAGCGCAACCCUUGCUAUUAGUUGCUACGCAAGAGCACUCUAAUAGGACUGCCGUUGACAAAACGGAGGAAGGUGGGGACGACGUCAAAUCAUCAUGCCCCUUAUGACCUGGGCUACACACGUACUACAAUGGAUGUAAACAGAGGGAAGCAAAAUAGCGAUAUGGAGCAAACCCCUAAAAGCAUUCUCAGUUCAGAUUGCAGGCUGCAACUCGCCUGUAUGAAGUUGGAAUUGCUAGUAAUCGCGGAUCAGCAUGCCGCGGUGAAUACGUUCCCGGGCCUUGUACACACCGCCCGU